rnacentral:rRNA from 1 species
UACAGAGGUCUCAAGCGUUGUUCGGAUUCAUUGGGCGUAAAGGGUGCGUAGGCGGCGCGGUAAGUCGGGUGUGAAAUCUCGGAGCUUAACUCCGAAACUGCAUUCGAUACUGCCGUGCUUGAGGACUGGAGAGGAGACUGGAAUUCAUGGUGUAGCAGUGAAAUGCGUAGAGAUCAUGAGGAAGACCAGUGGCGAAGGCGGGUCUCUGGACAGUUCCUGACACUGAGGCACGAAGGCCCAGGGGAGCAAACGGG